UACGAAGGUGGCAAGCGUUGUUCGGAUUUACUGGGCGUACAGGGAGCGUAGGCGGUUUGGUAAGCCCUUUGUGAAAUCUCCAGGCUUAACCUGGAACAGUCGGAGGGGACUGCUGGGCUAGAGGACGGGAGAGGAGCGCGGAAUUCCCGGUGUAGCGGUGAAAUGCGUAGAGAUCGGGAGGAACAUCAGUUGCGAAGGCGGCUCUCUGGACCAGCACUGACACUGAGGCACGAAAGCGUGGGGAGCAAACAGG
rnacentral:rRNA from 1 species